rnacentral:rRNA from 1 species
GACGAACGCUGGCGGCGUGCCUAAUACAUGCAAGUCGAGCGGAUCUCAAGGGGCUUGCCACUUGAGGUUAGCGGCGGACGGGUGAGUAACACGUGGGCAACCUGCCUGUAAGACUGGGAUAACACCGGGAAACCGGUGCUAAUACCGGAUAAUUCUUUCCCUCACAUGAGGGAAAGCUGAAAGUCGGUUUUUAGCUGACACUUACAGAUGGGCCCGCGGCGCAUUAGCUAGUUGGUGAGGUAACGGCUCACCAAGGCGACGAUACGUAGCCGACCGGGGAGGGUAAUCGGCCACACGGGGACUGAGACACGGCCCAGACUCCUACGGGAGGCAGCAGUAGGGAAUCUUCCGCAAUGGACGAAAGUCUGACGGAGCAACGCCGCGUGAGUGAUGAAGGCCUUCGGGUCGUAAAACUCUGUUGUUAGGGAAGAACAAGUAUCGGAGUAACUGCCGGUACCUUGACGGUACCUAACCAGAAAGCCACGGCUAACUACGUGCCAGCCGCCGCGGUAACAC